GUGCUCACCUCGGCAGCACAUAUACUAAAAUUGGAACGAUACAGAGAUUAGCAUGGUCCCUGCACAAGGAAUUUGCACAUGCAAAUUCAUGAAGCGUUCUAUAUUAAA
rnacentral:snRNA from 1 species